rnacentral:tRNA from 1 species
GGUUAGGUCGUAUAAUGGCUAAUACCUCAGAUUGCAAAUCUCAGAAUGUGGGUUCGAAUCCCACCCUAACCU